rnacentral:rRNA from 1 species
GAUGAACGCUGGCGGCGUGCCUAAUACAUGCAAGUCGAGCGAACGGACGAGAAGCUCGCUUCUCUGAUGUUAGCGGCGGACGGGUGAGUAACACGUGGAUAACCUACCUAUAAGACUGGGAUAACUUCGGGAAACCGGAUCUAAUACCGGAUAAUAUUUUGAACCGCAUGGUUCAAAAGUGCAACACGGUCUUGCUGUCACUUAUAGAUGGAUCCGCGCUGCAUUAGUUAGUUGGUAAGGUAACGGCUUACCAAGGCAACGAUGCAUAGCCGACCUGAGAGAGGGACAGGCCAACUGGGACCGGGGAACCGGUCAAGCCUCUAAGGGGAGGAAGCAGUAGGGAUACUGGAGCAAGGGGGGAAAGCCUGACGGAGCAUAGCGGGGUGAGUGAGGAAGGCCUUCGGAUCGUAAAACCCUGUUAUUAGGGAAGAACACAGGAGUAAGUAACUGUGCUGAUCUGGAGGGUACCUAAGAAGAAGGACACGGCAAAUUACGU